rnacentral:rRNA from 1 species
GACGAACGCUGGCGGCGUGCUUAACACAUGCAAGUCGAGCGGUAAGGCCCUUUCGGGGUACGACGAGCGGCGAACGGGUGAGUAACACGUGGGUGACCUGCCCUCAGCUCUGGGAUAAGCCUGGGAAACCGGGUCUAAUACUGGAUAUGACUCCAUGACGCAUGUUGUGGGGUGGAAAGCCUUGUGCGGCUGAGGAUGGGCCCGCGGCCUAUCAGCUUGUUGGUGGGGUGAGGCCUACCAAGGCGACGACGGGUAGCCGGCCUGAGAGGCGACCGGCCACACUGGGACUGAGACACGGCCCAGACUCCUACGGGAGGCAGCAGUGGGGAAUCUCGCGCAAUGGGCGAAAGCCUGACGCAGCGACGCCGCGUGAGGGAUGACGGCCUCGGUUGUAAC